GAUGAACGCUGGCGGCGUGCCUAAUACAUGCAAGUCGAGCGAACGGACGAGGCGCUUGCUGCUCUGAUGUUAGCAACGGACGGGUGAGUAGCACGUGGAUAACCUACCUAUACGGCUGAGAUAACUUCGGGAAACCGGAGCUAAUACCGGAUAAUAUUUUGAACGGCAUGGUUCAAAAGUGAAAGACGGUCUUGCUGUCACUUAUAGAUGGAUCCGCGCUGCAUUAGCGAGUUGGUAAGGUAACGGCUUACCAAGGCAGCGAUGCAUAGCCGACCUGAGAGGGUGAACCGGCACACAGGAAGUGAAACACGGUACUGAGUCCGACGGGAGGCACCAGUAGGGAAGGGUGCGAAAUGGGGGGAAGACUGAAGGAGCAACGCCGCGCGGGUGAUGAGGGUCUGCGGAGCGGAAAACUCUCUUCGGGGUGAAGAACACAUUUGCAAGUAACUGUGCAUAUCGUGACGGUACCUAAUCAGAAAGCACCGGCUAACUACGUG
rnacentral:rRNA from 1 species